rnacentral:rRNA from 1 species
CCUACGGGAGGCAGCAGUGAGGAAUAUUGGUCAAUGGACGAGAGUCUGAACCAGCCAAGUAGCGUGAAGGAUGACUGCCCUAUGGGUUGUAAACUUCUUUUAUAUGGGAAUAAACUGUUCCACGUGUGGGAUUUUGUAUGUACCAUAUGAAUAAGGAUCGGCUAACUCCGUGCCAGCAGCCGCGGUAAUACGGAGGAUCCGAGCGUUAUCCGGAUUUAUUGGGUUUAAAGGGAGCGUAGGUGGAUUGUUAAGUCAGUUGUGAAAGUUUGCGGCGCAACCGUAAAAUUGCAGUUGAAACUGGCAGUCUUGAGUACAGUAGAGGUGAGCGGAAUUCGUGGUGUAGCGGUGAAAUGCUUAGAGAUCACGAAGAACUCCGAUUGCGAAGGCAGUUCACUGGACUGCAACUGACACUGAGGCUCGAAAGUGUGGGUAUCAAACAGGAUUAGAUACCCGGGUAGUC